ensembl:miRNA
UUGGCCAAAAGGUGCUUUCGGGUUUUUCCAUAAUAUCUUAUGGAAAAACCUGAACGAAUUUUUUGGCCAA